rnacentral:lncRNA from 1 species
CAGCAGCCCAGCCGGAGGCACCGGGAGCACGGAGCAGCGUGUCCACCCACCGGACCAGCUGUCCCUUAAAGGCUGCUGGACCUAGCCCACUGGGAAGGAAAAAUGGACUCUGGCCUCCUCUGACAGACCCUCCCCAUCUCCUGUCUCCUGUCUCCUUUAACCUGCAUAGCUUCUCCUGAGGUGACCUUGUGCAUGUAACCGUCUGACUCUGAGACUCCUGUGCUAGACCCCAGUGCAGCUGAAGCCCUUCCUGUCUACAGGAAGCUUCCCCACCAGUGGCUGAGGGAUCUCAUGGCUCUUCA